rnacentral:hammerhead_ribozyme from 1 species
AUUAUCUGACGAGUCUCAAAUAGGAUGAAACGCGAGUCCUGGAU